GACGUAGGGCGCGAGCGUUGUCCGGAUUUAUUGGGCGUAAAGAGCUCGUAGGCGGCUUGUCGCGUCCGAAUGGUGAAAUCUCAGGGCUCAACUCUGACAUUGCAUUCGAUACGGGCAGGCUAGAGUUCGGUAGGGGAGACUGGAAUUCCUGGUGUAGCGGUGAAAUGCGCAGAUAUCAGGAAGAACACCCGUGGCGAAAGCGGCUCUCUGGAACGGUACUGACGCUGAGACGCGAAAGCGUGGGGAGCGAACAGG
rnacentral:rRNA from 1 species